AUGGUCAUCAAGGCAGGAGUGGCAUUGGUAUGCUUUGUCACAAAUGUAUUUAAUAGAGUCCAUGGUACUCUAGAAGGUGAGAUGGAAGGAGAGGAGAACUGCUUUCGGUUUUUGGCUCGGUGGAGGCUCAGGUGCAACUUUCUUCGGUGGUCCCGAAUCCAGGUUCAUCCGACACCAGCUGCCUCCACGAUGCCGCCCAAGUUCGACCCCAAUGAGAUCAAAGUUGUUGCCCCCAAGAUCGGCCUGAUCGGCCUAGCCCCCCCCAAGAUCGGCCCCCUGGGUCUGUCUCCAAAAAAGAUUGGUGAUGACAUCGCCAAAACAACCGGUGACUGGAAAGGUCUUAGGAUUACAGUAAAACUGACCAUUCAGAACAGACAGGCCCAGAUUGAGGUGGUACCUUCUGCCUCUGCCCUGAUCAUCAAAGCCCUCAAGGAACCACCGAGAGACAGAAAGAAACAGAAGAACAUUAAACACAGUGGGAACAUCACUUUUGAUGAGAUUGUCAACAUUGCCCGACAAAUGUGACACCGGUCUCUAGCUAGAGAACUCUCUGGAACCAUUAAAGAGAUCCUGGGGACUGCUCAGUCUGUGGGCUGCAAUGUUGAUGGCCGCCACCCCCAUGACAUCAUAGAUGACAUCAAUAGUGGUGCGGUGGAAUGCCCCGCUAGUUAAGAAGCAAAAAGGAAAUAUAUUUCAAUAAAAGGCCAUUUGACAACU